rfam:Triticum aestivum genome assembly, contig: Triticum_aestivum_CS42_TGACv1_scaffold_292186_4AL
UGUGUACUCCCUCCGUUCCAAAAUACUUGACUUCCAUUUGUCCAAAAAUGGAUGUACCUAUAUACUACGACAUGUCUAGAUACAUAUAUAUUUUGACAAAUAGAAGGCAUGUAUUGUGCAACGGAGGGAGUAGAAU